rnacentral:rRNA from 1 species
CAUUAGCCGCGGUAAUACAGAGGGUGCGAGCGUUAAUCGGAUUUACUGGGCGUAAAGCGUGCGUAGGCGGCUUUUUAAGUCGGAUGUGAAAUCCCUGAGCUUAACUUAGGAAUUGCAUUCGAUACUGGGAAGCUAGAGUAUGGGAGAGGAUGGUAGAAUUCCAGGUGUAGCGGUGAAAUGCGUAGAGAUCUGGAGGAAUACCGAUGGCGAAGGCAGCCAUCUGGCCUAAUACUGACGCUGAGGUACGAAAGCAUGGGGAGCAAACAGGAUUAGAUACCCCAGUAGUCCCUGUCUCUUAUAC